rnacentral:rRNA from 1 species
UAGUGGCGGACGGGUGAGUAACGCGUGAGCAAUCUGCCUUUCGAGAGGGGGAUAACAGUCGGAAACGACUGCUAAUACGCAUGAAUCAUAGUACGGCAUCGUACAAUGAUCAAAGGAGCAAUCCGCUGAAAGAUGAGCUCGCGUCCCAUUAGCUAGUUGGUGAGGUAACGGCCCACCAAGGCAACGAUGGGUAGCCGGACUGAGAGGUUGAACGGCCACAUUGGGACUGAGACACGGCCCAGACUCCUACGGGAGGCAGCAGUGGGGAAUAUUGCGCAAUGGGGGGAAAAACCCCCUGACGCAGCAACGCCGCGUGAAGGAUGAAGGUUUUCGGAUUGUAAACUUCUUUAAUUAGGGACGAAAUUUUGACGGUACCUAAAGAAUAAGCUCCGGCUAACUACGUGCCAGCAGCAGC